UACGUAGGGAGCGAGCGUUGUCCGGAUUUACUGGGUGUAAAGGGUGCGUAGGCGGCAAUGCAAGUCAGGCGUGAAAGCUCGGGGCUUAACCCCGAAACUGCGCUUGAAGCUGUGUUGCUUGAGUGAAGUAGAGGUAGGCGGAAUUCCCGGUGUAGCGGUGAAAUGCGUAGAGAUCGGGAGGAACACCAGUGGCGAAGGCGGCCUACUGGGCUUUAACUGACGCUGAGGCACGAAAGCAUGGGUAGCAAACAGG
rnacentral:rRNA from 1 species